UUCAUAUAUAUAAACUAUAUAUAUGAAUAAUAUGAUGUGAAUAUACAUGGAGGAAUUAUAUAUGUAUAUGAAUCCCUUAGCCUAGCGUAAGAGCCUAACACUGCAGGUUUAAGAGAUGUAGCAGCUCAGUAAAUGGUAGUUCUUAUGAACUUUCAUAUACACGCACAUAGAGGCAUUUAAAUGACUGACGUACACAGUCUGAAUGCUGAUACAACAUCCACAAAUUUAAGGAGAAACGCAAUCAUAGAAACCACUCAGGAGUUGGCAGAGCUGAUGCAUCAUAUGUUUGCUCUAAUUGCAAUAUGGCUAGAUAGCAAUUUAAAAGAUUCAACAAUUAUUUAACAUUUGAGAAGCCAAGUUGAUUUGAGGCUGUUUUUAGAAAUAGGAUAUGUUCAUACGUGGUAAAAUUUCGAGAGUCGUAUUCAAACCAAGCCACCAAAUCAUUUCAGUCGCCUUUCAAAGACGCACCUACCGAUGGCAUGGUUCCAGAUGUAUCAAUGACAAGUGAGAUUAAAAAAAAAAUCACAUGUUCUUCCUACUCACAACUAGCUUUAAGUCUGGUGAUAGAAACAGGUGUGUGAGCAAUACACUAUAUUAGGAGACAAACAGCAGCCUAAAUAACAUGCUCAGGCUACACCAGUCGAAUGUAAUGUGCUGAGCCUGGGGUGCCCAGUGUGGCCCUCGACGAGGGCACUAGCGCCGAUGGGAGAAGCUCCACCAUCACUUAAUGAAGACAAGUCUUGCCUUGCUGGCAUAUGAUAAGCUUUAGUCUUGCUCCAAAACUACAGCAGCGGCAGUAACAACAACCCGUAACAUAGCAGAGCUCUCCAUUCAUCCCUCCAUGUGCCGGAUGCUGAGGGGAGUAGUGAGAUGGGAGUGUGAGCCCCACCUGCAUGAACCUACGCCAACCAACCGAGAGAUGAGGCUCCAUCAGGGCAUCGGGUUCAGGCUGGGGCAGGAGGCCAGACUUUCCUGAGAACGUAAUAUUCAAACGGAGACCAGAAGGAGAGUAGAAUAUGUGAAAGUGGUGAUUUGGGGAAGAGCUUUGAGCCUUGAGCUGUUGGAGGAAGGCCCAUGAGGCUGGAAUAAGGCAAGAGAGGGGCAGAGUGAUGGGGGAGAAGGCUGGAGAGGCCAGGAUGGGCCAGGCAGAACCCAGCGGCUGUGCACCUGCUGACCACGUGCCAUGGGACGUCAUUGGAGGGCUUUACGAAGGGGAGAGAUAUCAUCUUACUAAUGUUUUUAAAAGUUUUUUAUGCUUCCUCAACAUAUUAAACAUGGAAUUACCAUGUGAUCCAGCAGUUCUACUUCUGGGUAUAUACCAAAAAGAAUAAAAAGUAGGGACUCAAACAUAUUUAUACCCUAGCGUUCAUAACAGUGUUAUUCAUCAUAGCCAAAAGGCGGAAGUGAAGUAACCCCAGUGUCCACUGAUGGAGAAUGGAUAGGAAAGGGAUGGUCUGUCCACACAAUGGAAUAUUAUUCAGCCUUAAAAAGGGAAGGAAAUUCUGGCACAUGCUACAGCGUGGAUGAACUUUGAAGACAACACGCUGAGUGAAAUAAGCCAGACAUAAAAGGACAAAUACUGUGUGAUACCACUCCCAUGAGGUCCCUAGAAUAUCCAAUUCAAGGAGACAGAGAGUAGAGAGGUGGUUGCCAGGGGCUGGGGGAGAUGGGAGAAUGGAGAGUUAUGUUUCCUGGGGACAGAGUUUCAGUUUGGGAAGCAGUAAAAGUUCUGGAGGUGGGUGGUGGGAAUGUUUGCACAACAAUUUGAAUGUACUUAAUGCCACUAAACUGCACGCUUAAAUAUGGUUAAAGUGGGCCAGGUGCAGUGACUCAUGCCCAUAAUCCCAGCACUUCGGGAGGCCGAGGUGGGUAGAUCACUUGAGGUCAGGAGUUUGGGACCAGCCUGACCAACAUGGUGAAACCCUGUCUCUACUAAAAAACAAACAAACAAACAAAAAACCCAAAAAUUAGCCAGCUGUCGUGGUGCAUGCCUGUAAUCCCAGCUACUCAAGAGGUUGAGACAGGAGAAUCGGUUGAACCCAGGGGGUGAAGGUUGCAGUGAGCUGAGACUGCGCUACUGCACUUUAGCCUGGGUGACAGAGCAAGACUCCAUCUCAAAAAACAAAAAAAUCUAUAUCUAUAUCUAUAUCUCUCUCUAUCUCUAUCUAUCUAUAUAUAUGGUUAAAGUGGUAAGUUUUAUGUUAUGUAUAUUCUAACACAUUAAAACAAAGCUCGUUAUGGGUGCUUUAUGGGGAGCAGGGAGUGGGGGAUGAGGGUGGGAAGGGAAACCAGUGUUGGGGGAACAAGCCUCCCGGCUCUUGCAGUAGCCCCACGAGGAGCCCAGGAUGGCUGGGGCAGGAUGGAGCAGCAGAGAUGAAGGGAGUGGGUGGGUUCCCUGCUCACAGGUGAGGUGAGAUGUGCUGGGCUGGGUGAUGAACCAGAUGGGAGGAGGUGGUGAGACAGGGGGAGAGCCAGGUGCCAGGGAUAGCUGCUCCCUGUUCUGGCACCAGCAAUGAGAAAAUAAAAACACCACAGAGUGUGGCAGCAAUCACUAGGGGAGGGACACACUUGGUGGUGCAGGCAGGUGGGGCAGUGGGGGUUCAAGUGUUCAGGUUGGACACACACCACCUUUGAGAUGACUACGAAAGACCCAAGGGUGGGUGUUAAAUAGGGGGCUGGAUACAUAGGUCUGGAGCUCAGCAGGACGUGCCAGGAAGGAAAUGGGAGAUGAUAGAAUGGGAAUGUCACGGAAACCACAGGGAGAGAGGGGACUGCUCAGGUGGAGGGUGAAGGGCAGUAGGAAAAAAUGCAGGCCAGGAGGUGCAACAAGCCUACACCAGGCCUGACUGGUCAGCCUUGAAUCCCAGCAAAUUAGCCUUUUCUCUUUAACCAGAGACAUGAGCACUUGGAUGAGAGUUGCCAGUCGCUAGAUAUUUAAAACUGCUAAGUGAAAUAAACUGGGCACAGAGAGACAAACAAUGCAUGAUCUCACUUUCAUGUGGAAUUUAAAACAAUUUUUUGUUUUAUUUUUUUUGAGAUGGAGUCUUGCUCUGUUGCCCAGGCUGGAGUGCAGUGGCACAACCUCUGCUCACUGCAACCUCCAUCUCCCAGGUUCAAAAUUCUCCUGCCUCAGCCUCCCAAGUAGCUGAGAUUACAGGAGCCCAUCACCAUGCCCGGCUAAUUUUUUUUUUUUUUUUUUGUAUUUUUAGUAGAGAUGGAGCUUCACCAUUUAAAACGAUUUGAAUUCAUAGAAGUAGAGGGUAGAAUGAUGGCUACCAGAGGCUCGGGGAGAGGGAAGAAAAGGGAGUUAUUGGUCGAAGAAUACAAUGUUUCAGCUCAACAGGAAAAAUAGGUUUUGAGAUCUAUUGCACAGCAGAGUAACUACAGUCAAUGAUGCAUAUUUCAAAAUAACUAAGUUAUAUGUAACAAAAUAACUCAAUGUAUCAUCACAGAAAAUGUCAAGCAAUUGAGGUGAGGGAUUUGUUCAUUAGCUUGAUUUAAUCACCCCACAAUGUGUACAUAUAUCAAAAUAUCUCAUUAUAUGCCAUAAAUGUAAUGCAAUUAUGAUCUGUCAAUUAAAAAUAAUAUAAAAAUGCAUGGAAACGAAGUACACAGGGCAGGCCUGCUAGUCCCACGGACCUCUGGUUCUCCAAGCUGCAAAAUGCAGAUGACUGGCUCCCUUGGUGGCAGGAGACAGGGUCAGGUUGGAACCUAAGUAGGCAUUGAGUAUCAGAUCUUACUAAACCAACUCUAUCAAACCCUCUCUGCUUGGAGAGGCCCAGCAUGAGAGAGAGCGAGACAUAAAGGAAAAACAGUGAUGGCUAGGAGGGAAAGGAGGUAUAGAGCAGCAAGGUCCGCAGUCUACCUGAAAUACAAAGGCUCUGUGUCUGUAUGCCGUCUAUUUUGUUUGCACAGCAAUCCUCCUUUUCCUUCAAUUAGUCUGACAGAGGCUUUGCUGAUCGCAGGCAAGAGAGUGAAGAAACGCCCACACAGCAAGUGUUCUCAUCUUCAGGCAAGAGGCAAUGCCAGUCUUCUAUUAUAAUGGUCAUAAAAAUGUCAGUUACUGUACCAUGUACAUAUGUUGAAGGAGAAAUUCCUUCUUGCUCUCUCCUGGUCUCUCUUUUUUUAAUUGCAGGAGACUCCUUUUGGAGCUUAGACUUAGUUUGCAUUUUCUGGACAUGCUCCAGCUGGUCCCAAAGUGGGUAGCAGAGAGGAGCUAGCUGUAGAAUAAUGGAGAUUUUCCUCAAUAUGUAAGAACUUCCCUAGCCUGGGCACAGUGACUUAUGCCUGUAAUCCCAGCACUUUGGGAGGCCAAGGCAGGCAGAUCACUGAGCAACUCCUGAGCAACAUAGUGAAACCCCAACUUUACUAAAAAUACAAAACUUAGCCGGGCGUGGUGGCAGAUGCCUGUAAUCUCAGCUACUCGGGAGGCUGAGGCAGGAGAAUCGCUUGAACCUGGGAGGCAGAGGUUGCAGUGAGCCGAGAUCGUGCUACUGCGCUCCAGCCUGGGUGACCAAGCAAGACUCUCAAAAAAAAAAAAAAAAAAAACUUCCCAAGAGUAAACACUACUAAAAUUUUGUAUUUCCGCUGGAGAGAGUUUACCAGCCACACACUUGGAUUAGGAUGGGGUUACCAUAAUCCAUGCUGGCACAAGUGAGAAGUGGAUGUCUGCUGGGGGCUGUCAGAAAAAUGGGUGGGGAAGAGCUUCGCUGCAGGUACCAGCGAGCCUUGAGAUGUUGUGGACUGUGGGCAAGCUUUCCAGGCCUAGGAAUUUAGGCCGGGUUUUGAAGCUUGGCAUCACCAUGGCCUGGAGGGCAAAGGAGAAGGACUUCGGACCCAAAUCCAAAAGAAUGAAGUAGGAAGAGGAGGCCAGGUGGAGUUGGAGGGGUGGACAGGGGCUAUGCAUGUCUCUGGAACCAGGUUCAGGGCACCUAGAGUUUUGUGAUGGAGUGCCAGGUGUAGGAGGGACAUGGUAGAUCCAGAGGCGCUGCAUCCUGAGAGCCUCCUGCCUCCUGGGGCAGAGACACAGGGUGGGGAGGCUGAUGGUCCUGACGCUGGUGCCAGGCCUUCUGUGGCAGAGGAUUCUCCUCUGCUUCCUGCCCAGCCCUGCAUCUGAGGCCAGGAUGUAGGCAGGCUCAAAGCAGGGUGAGGACAUGUGUAUAUGCAUAUGUGUGCAUGCCUGAGUGUGCACAUUUGUUCACAUGCAUGCACACAUCUGCGUGCAUGUUUGUGUAUGUGCAUGUGCAUUUUGUGUGUGCGCACAUGUGUGUGUUGCUUCCAAUAAUAUCCCCACAUCUGGCCUUCCUACUGCACGCAGCCACAUCUGGAGGCAGGCAGCUGAGCCAGGUGAACUGUCAAUACCCAUCUAGCUUUAUUACAAUGUGAUUCGGGGACUCUGCAGAGAGCACUCUGCAGCAAAGUAUGACAUGGGAUCUUUUUCAGCUAUGGACUUGCCAGCAGUCUUCUGCAGCCAUGUCUUCUGGGCCAGCCUUGUAGGGAAUUGCCCCUCCCUAUUCCUGCCCAGCCUGGUUCCAUCUGGUUGCUGUCAGGCUCCCGGCUGCUGGGUGGAGGAGAACUGCAGUGGCAGAGUUUGCUCAUCUGGAUGCUUAAUAAGCAGGCACCCUCCCUAUGCCAAAGCAAAGCCUGCAAGAGAGGACUCUGAUGGGUUGUGGGCAAGAGCAGCAUUGGCUUUGCCAUCCCCAAUCUCAUCGUGACCUCCUGGGUAGGGGAAAGGGAGCCCCUGGCAGAGGCUGUGGCCUCCUUUUCACUGGCAAGAUGUGGACUUUUCCUCCUAGUUAUGAAAGGGCCAUGGGGCAUGUCACACAUUGAGGGAGGUCUAAGAAAAGGAAACUGCCACCCAUGUUUGACUGUGAUGACACUGGUAGAAAUGCCAUCCCGGAAGCAAGGAUAGAGACCGCCUUCUCCCUCCCCUUGUGUUUGUUUCCAUGUGCUUGUUCCCAUUGGGAGUGGGAGGAUGAGUUUAGAGAGUAUUGAGAUGAUGCCUUUAUUUAGGUGAAGCAGAGCUUGGCCAGUCUAAAGUCAAGCUCCAUAGAUGGAGCCUUGCUAGAGAGCCGCCUCUGAGGAGCUAGGAUUGCUUAUGAGAACCAGGGAGGAGGAAAGACAGUGGGAAGGGGUAGGCAGGGAUGCAGGCUGCCCAUGGAGCAAGGUGGAGAACCUGUCACAGGGUACCCGGCCUUUUACAAGGGCUUUUCGGGGAAGGAGCUGUAUCAGAGGCUGUUACUUGCCUCCUCAAUAUCCAUUCUUCCCUACUGUUGCUAUCACAGGAAGGUGAACCCGUGCCCAGCUAAAAGCCUAUAUUUCAGUGUCCCUUGCUGGAAUUGUGGCCAAGGAGAUGUAAGUGGAAGUCACUGGACGGGAUUCUGGGAAGGCUUUGUGAAGGGGGCUGACCCAGCUGGAAAAAGUGACCUUUUGUACUUCUGUCUUCUCCUUUUUUGUAUCUGCAAAGAAGUGGAAUGACUGGAGCUCCAGCAGCCAUCUUGUGCCUAUGAGCUAGAAGAGUCACUGCUGGAAGAUCCAAUGCUGGAAUUGACAGUAGAUGCUCACAGUCAUCACGGGAGCUGAGCUCUAUAACUGUACCCAGCCCAGGGCCUGUGCAUACACUGGUUCCUACAAGGGUGGUGAUGCGAAGUGAAUGCUUGGGAACUGGGACUGGGAUGUAAAUUUCCCGUUUGCCAGGGGCCAGCUCUGGGACCUCAGGUGAAUGUGACACUUCUCUGGGUAGCCAAGUCAUCACCUACAGAAUGCAGGACAUGUCAAACGACUUCAUUUGAUGCACAAUAAGCAAAAAUCAGCAAACUCUCAGGGGACUUUGUAAAGACACAGGCAGUUUGAGGAGGUAAUGUGGCAGAGUGGGAAGAGUGAGAAUUUGGUAAUAACCAAAUGAACAAAGAAACAAAAUAAAGAAACAACAGAUAAUGUUUUCU